UUUAAAUCACAAUUUGUAUUUAUUCUUAUUAACCAGUUUUCCAUUUAAAACCAAUAAUAAUGUCAUGAUGAAUUUAAAAUACAUUGGUUUUAAAUAGCUAAAAUAUGCAAUAUUUCAGCUCAAUCACCCGCAUCUCUCAAGGCCUCUCCUAGUAACAUAUCUGUUUUAGGGCUAGAUUGAAGUGAGCCAUGCCAAUCCCUCUUGAUAACUGCAUCACAAUCUUCUUUUUUUGCCCAACCUGCCUCGUAUCUAAAGAUCCUUUUCUUAGGGAAGAAUGCAGGCUCUUGAGAUUGACAAGAGAUCGGUAAAGGGCUAUGGUCUGAGCACUGUACAGGCAAAACAAAAACUGAAUUAAUAGCAUAGAGAUGCUGCCAUUCACUAUUAACCAGGGCCCUGUCCAGUCUCUCCUUAGUGAAUUCAGUCCCCUCUCAGUUGUUACACCAUGUGAAUUGGGAUCCCUCAAACCCAUGAUCACCUAGAUCACAGUCCAUUAAUGCUUGCCUAAAAUCCUCCAUCUGCUUAUAAGGCCUAAGAGAGGCACCACUCUUUUCAUCUUGAGAGAUUAUUUCAUUGAAAUCUUCCCAUGCACAACCAAGGUAAGUUGUGAGCAGGUUUCAAAAGCCUAAGUAGACUCCAACUCUCCUUUCUUUUAGCCACAACAGGUUGCCCAUAGAAGCCAGUUAGGAUCCAGUCUUUGUCCAAUUCUAGAGUGAAUUUGUAAAGAAAUGUGACUUAGGGAAUAUGACAUUAAAUCAGCAAGUACAUCCUUUUUUCAGAAGGCUGCUACAUCCUUUUUCCAGAAGGCUGCUAGAUCCUCACUUCGACCAAUAUAAUCCACAGUGAAACUGCGUUCAUAGUCCAGUUUAUUACGAAUACCUUCCAGUUUUUCUCUUUUACAUUUAGUUUCAAUUAAAACAACCAGAUCUGGGGCCUUUUCUCUCACCAUCAGGUGGAGUUCACGAACUGUCCAAAGGUUCCCAAGCCUUCAGCAGUUUCAAUAAAGUGUUUUCAUGGUGAUUGGCAGGGUUUUUAAACAGCCACUGCCAUUACAGGUUUCUUAGCCCUCUUAGAAGCCUUAUGGGAUUUCUCUCCAACGCCACCUCCUCUUGGUACUGCAGCUGUUAACCACCAAAAGGUGGUUUUCCAUGGUGUCCUCAAGGGACAUAGGAUGGUCCAUAUGCUGUGAGGAUAUGUGCAAGAGAAAAGCUAUGUCCUUUUCAUAUGUGUGAGCCCCUUUAGAGGGGACCUCGAAGUAAGCUGAGGUUUCCUCAUUUGUCAAGUCUGAAUCACCUCGGUAUCCAGCAUUCAGAGAUCUACCAACAUUGUUAUCAAUCACUUGAUCACGACCUGAAUUCGCUGGGUCGAUGGAAACUGAUCCCAAGUUUUCUGCCCCCAAAUAAUCUGAACAUUUCCUGCCAUCUUCAUACCUCUUCCCUCGGAACUGCUACGCCGGACUCCAUUUGAGUCCACCACCUUUUCUUUGCUAUUGAACUGGUAUUGAUCAAGCUUUGAUUGAGGCCCUGCCCUGAGCCAUGCCCCAUAUUCAGUGUGUUGGCCCUCAGGUGUUCUGCCAUCUGAGACUGACCUGGAACAUCUCAGCUUACCAUGUUGAAUAACACCACACUGGAAACAAAAGCUGGGCAAUCUUUCGUAUUGAAAAGGGAUCCAGAGACGCUUAUCCCCAAUGCUGAGAACUCGACCCGUGCCAGAGGCUUGGUGAUGUCGACCAAUACCUUCACUCUCAAGAAACUGCCCCAACGCAUCCCAUUUUCAUCAGCAUCCACAAGCAUGACACGGCCUAUGGUUGCCCCAAGCUUUUCACCCAUGCUCUUAUUCAAGCCAGCAAAUGGCAGAUCGUGGAGCUGGAUCCAGAAAGGUUCCUGUGAGAAGUCUAUGCCUUUCGGAGCAAUGCUGCCCACGCAUUCCUAUAAACAUACCAGGUUUCUGUCAAGGGACCACGGACGUCCCAGUAGCACCCUGUUCUUCUCAGUUGCAUUAUGAAACUCGAUGAGGAACUUGUUCCUACCAACCUCCUUGAAGGCCAAGUAGCCCUCUGUUUUCCAUAUCCUUGGACCUUGACGUAGUAGCUCUAAACGCUCCCUUAUUGACAUCUUUAUCAACUACAACCAAGGCAACUAGACACUUCUUGCUUUUUUCAUUGGAUAUCAUGACAUCAUCCUCCGAGAGGUGGACUUCUUGUUCUUCAUCCUUAGUUAACCUUAGGCCCUCACACAGAUUAGAGAGCUCCUCCUCCAUACCAAGGCUAGACUGGGAAGCACUCGCCACUCUUCAGACCAAUGGUCAAAGAGACUAACCUCUAUGUUCCAAAGUCCAAAGGAAGCAUAGAGAGAAAAAAACCCCACCUUUCCAGAGAGAGAGAGGACUUGGCUAGCCUUCCUCUCUAUCAGGAAAAUGUUAGAUUGUCGUUCCAGAUUGAGUACUAAACUUUAGUGCAGCAUGUGUCUACAUGAACUUGUGUUCAGGCUUUGUUGUUGUCGUGAUUACAUGAUAUGGAUUUAUUUCGAUAUAUAGCAGAAAUAGAUCUCUAAAUGUGUUAUCUUUAAUCAUUAAUGUUGCUGAUUUUCAAAAGUUGGUACCUUUUUUCAUUAAUGUCGCUGAUUUUCAAAAGUUGGUACCUUUUUUCUUGUAAAUUUGUUGCAAAGAGGUGUAUAUGUGAUAGAAAAGCGUUUAUGCAAUUGACUGGAACAUUUUACAUGAGUUUGUCAAUAUCAUUUGCUAAAAGUGAGAUACCCGUGAAAGACAACCAUAGAAAGAGAAGCCCACACGAUCAUCUACACAAACCAGUAGAUGAUUAACCCAAAAGGACCUAAUAUUAUACCAGUUUGUUGAGUCAAACAAGAAAUAGAAAAAAUAGUGAUCAACUUGUCAACACUAACAAAUCCAAAGCCCAAUGCAAUCAGGUUCUGAUGCUUACACUAGACAAAGACUUGAUACUUGGACCAAUGCGGACUAAAAAAAUAGUUGGACCAGAGGAAGAGAUUCAAAACAAUGAAAGGGUAAUCG